rnacentral:misc_RNA from 1 species
AACGCAACUGGCGCCGGUUUACCGGCAUGCCUGUUUCAGUUCGCUUGGAGAGUAAACCAUCAUUUUAAAAUAUAAUGCGAUUGAGGUACAUUUAUGUUCUUCUUUCGUUAAAUAUGAUGGGGUGAGAGAUGUGUAAUCUCUCACACUGGCAAACGAGUUAGUCAUGCUUAUUCGUGAUCUAGGUUAACCAGUUCUAAAGUUUUUUGCUUAGCUAUAAAACACAUCUAAUCAAUUAAAUAUCUCUAAAUUUGGCAUCUGAAAUCAGACAAGGAGACCCGCUGAACUUAA